rnacentral:rRNA from 1 species
CUCAGGACGAACGCUGGCGGCGUGCCUAAUACAUGCAAGUCGAACGGUCUUUCUAUGGAAGCUUGCUUCCACUGAGAAGAUAGUGGCGAACGGGUGAGUAACACGUGGGUAACCUGCCCAUAAGAGGGGGGAUAACAUCCGGAAACGGGUGCUAAUACCGCAUAGUUUUCUUGAUCGCAUGAUCGGGAAAGGAAAGACGGCCUUUGUGCUGUCGCUUAUGGAUGGACCCGCGGCGUAUUAGUUAGUUGGUGAGGUAACGGCUCACCAAGGCGAUGAUACGUAGCCGACCUGAGAGGGUGAUCGGCCACAUUGGGACUGAGACACGGCCCAAACUCCUACGGGAGGCAGCAGUAGGGAAUCUUCCGCAAUGGACGAAAGUCUGACGGAGCAACGCCGCGUGAGUGAAGAAAAGGUUUUCGGAUCGUAAAACUCUGUUGUCAGAGAAGAACAAGUUGGAGAGUAACUGCUCCAGCCUUGACGGUAUCUGACCAGAAAGCCACGGCUAACUACGUGCCAGCAGCCGC